rnacentral:rRNA from 1 species
GAUGAACGCUGGCGGCGUGCCUAAUACAUGCAAGUCGAGCGAACGGACGAGAAGCUUGCUUCUCUGAUGUUAGCGGCGGACGGGUGAGUAACACGUGGAUAACCUACCUAUAAGACUGGGAUAACUUCGGGAAACCGGAGCUAAUACCGGAUAAUAUUUUGAACCGCAUGGUUCAAAAGUGAAAGACGGUCUUGCUGUCACUUAUAGAUGGAUCCGCGCUGCAUUAGCUAGUUGGUAAGGUAACGGCUUACCAAGGCAACGAUGCAUAGCCGACCUGAGAGGGUGAUCGGCCACACUGGAACUGAGACACGGUCCAGACUCCUACGGGAGGCAGCAGUAGGGAAUCUUCCGCAAUGGGCGAAAGCCUGACGGAGCAACGCCGCGUGAGUGAUGAAGGUCUUCGGAUCGUAAAACUCUGUUAUUAGGGAAGAACAUAUGUGUAAGUAACUGUGCACAUCUUGACGGUACCUAAUCAGAAAGCCACGGCUAACUACGUGCCAGCAGCCGCGGCAAUACGUAGGUGGCAAGCGUUAUCCGGAAUUAUUGGGCGUAAAGCGCGCGUAGGCGGUUUUUUAAGUCUGAUGUGAAAGCCCACGGCUCAACCGUGGAGGGUCAUUGGAAACUGGAAAACUUGAGUGCAGGAGAGGAAAGUGGAAUUCCAUGUGUAGCGGUGAAAUGCGCAGAGAUAUGGAGGAACACCAGUGGCGAAGGCGACUUUCUGGUCUGUAACUGACGCUGAUGUGCGAAAGCGUGGGGAUCAAACAGGAUUAGAUACCCUGGUAGUCCACGCCGUAAACGAUGAGUGCUAAGUGUUAGGGGGUUUCCGCCCCUUAGUGCUGCAGCUAACGCAUUAAGCACUCCGCCUGGGGAGUACGACCGCAAGGUUGAAACUCAAAGGAAUUGACGGGGACCCGCACAAGCGGUGGAGCAUGUGGUUUAAUUCGAAGCAACGCGAAGAACCUUACCAAAUCUUGACAUCCUUUGACAACUCUAGAGAUAGAGCCUUCCCCUUCGGGGGACAAAGUGACAGGUGGUGCAUGGUUGUCGUCAGCUCGUGUCGUGAGAUGUUGGGUUAAGUCCCGCAACGAGCGCAACCCUUAAGCUUAGUUGCCAUCAUUAAGUUGGGCACUCUAAGUUGACUGCCGGUGACAAACCGGAGGAAGGUGGGGAUGACGUCAAAUCAUCAUGCCCCUUAUGAUUUGGGCUACACACGUGCUACAAUGGACAAUACAAAGGGCAGCGAAACCGCGAGGUCAAGCAAAUCCCAUAAAGUUGUUCUCAGUUCGGAUUGUAGUCUGCAACUCGACUACAUGAAGCUGGAAUCGCUAGUAAUCGUAGAUCAGCAUGCUACGGUGAAUACGUUCCCGGGUCU